rnacentral:lncRNA from 1 species
UCCAUUAGCAGGACUAAAAGCAGUGCUGUGUCAAGAUAGUAUAACAACCAGGGAAUUGCAAAUGCCAAGCACAGACCCACUUCUCCAGCACAAGACAGUGACAUGAUCCAAAUGGAAGCACAAGGCUCAUAUGGUUACAUUCAAUGAUSAAUUCUCCACGGAUGGAUUGUGACCCCCCAGAAAGGUUACAAAGGGAGACCUGACGUAGGUUUGUCUUGUUAAUACCCACACGGCUAUCCGGUGAAUGAGAGAGAUGGAUUUAAUGCCUUGGAGAUGUGACAAUUCCUGAAGGACUUUUGGGGCCUGUCCUGAUAUGGGGAUCUUUUAAGUACAGUUUAUGAAUUCUGGUUGAAGCUAUGAAGUUGCUGUUAUGAAAAAUUGUAGCAUCUUAGGUUGCCUCAGAUGGUGAAUCCAUCAUUUUCUCCCAAGGUCUGUCACAUGUACUCAUCAGAGUAAUGACUGUGGAGCGUUGCUUGGCUUAAUG